UUGCAUUUGGUGGAUGGAUGGCUAGGGAAACUUUGGUGUACCCUAGAAGAGGAACAUCGACUUAAAACUGGUGGAAACAAGAGGAAUCCAUUUUUAGUCAAAAUCCUGUAUACCUAACGUGUGAAUGG
rnacentral:rRNA from 12 species